rnacentral:rRNA from 1 species
AGAUCCUGAAACCGCAUGCAUACAAGCAGUGGGAGCACCUUCGUGGUGUGACUGCGUACCUUUUGUAUAAUGGGUCAGCGACUUAUAUUCAGUAGCGAGGUUAACCGUAUAGGGGAGCCGUAGAGAAAUCGAGUCUUAAUAGGGCGUUUAGUUGCUGGGUAUAGACCCGAAACCAGGCGAUCUAUCCAUGAGCAGGUUGAAGGUUGGGUAACACUAACUGGAGGACCGAACCCACUGUCGUU